rnacentral:misc_RNA from 1 species
GAUGAAGGACGUAGCGAAAUGCGAUAAGUAAUGUGAAUUGCAGAAUUCAGUGAAUCAUCGAAUCUUUGAACGCACAUUGCGCCCGCCAGUAUUCUGGCGGGCAUGCCUGUUCGAGCGUCAUUUCAACCAUCAAGCCCCCGGCUUGUGUUGGGGACCUGCGGCUGCCGCAGGCCCUGAAAAGCAGUGGCGGGCUCGCUGUCACACCGAGCGUAGUAGCAUACAUCUCGCUCUGGGCGUGCUGCGGGUUCCGGCCGUUAAACCACCUUCAUAACCCAAGGUUGACCUCGGAUCAGGUAGGAAGACCCGCUGAACUUAAGCAUAUCAAUAAGCGGAGGA